rnacentral:tRNA from 1 species
AGCUCAGUAGCUUAGAUGGUAACGCACUUGUCUAGCGUAUAAGACUCAUGAGUUCAAAUCUCACCUGAGCAG